UACGUAGGGUGCGAGCGUUAAUCGGAAUUACUGGGCGUAAAGCGUGCGCAGGCGGUUUUGUAAGUCAGAUGUGAAAUCCCCGGGCUCAACCUGGGAACUGCGUUUGAAACUACAAGGCUAGAGUGUAGCAGAGGGGGGUAGAAUUCCACGUGUAGCAGUGAAAUGCGAUAGAGAUGUGGAGGAAUACCAAUGGCGAAGGCAGCCCCCUGGGUUA
rnacentral:rRNA from 1 species